rnacentral:lncRNA from 1 species
UAGCCACCACCAACCCUAAAGAAGAUUCCACCCCUCUAAUGCUGAGAUUCAAGGAUAAAGUCAUCAUGGUAGAAGAUCAGUGGGUUUGCAAGAUCUACAAUGACUACCCCACCUUGGACACUUUUCUUCAUCAACAUGAUUUCAUCUAGGAACAUUCAGAUCUAAGGUAAAACACUCCUCUACUAAAUCCAAAGUUUUUAUGUGUACAUUUGCUUCCAUUGCCAGAAUCUAAAGAGCCUAUGAAGAAUUGCAUGCACCCUAACUAGUAUAAGAACAAGAAUGGAGUAAUUUAGAUUUUCCUACAAACAUCCCAAUGAAAAGAGAACUGAUUUAGGGUAUAGAUAUAAAGAGUGGAGAAACAUGAGAUAUUUCAAGACACAAUAGUUAUAUCUAUUAUUUUUAUCUUCUACAAUAUUCUUUAUAAUAUGGUAUAACAAUUUUAUUUUAUCCGUAGAUGUAAGUAAUAUUGGUCAAACCAAGUUAAAACCUUAUAUAGGUUUAUUGAGUCGAUUUUAUUUUUAUGUUCUUAACACUAAUAUAUUAGAAUUCAGCCCACAUAAUGGAAUUAGAUUACUGGGAAGCUUUUCCCCAUUCUUGAUAGUCCUCUCAUGCCAGUUGCUUGUGUGCUCAACAGCAAGUAGAUGGAUUAAGUUUCUGAUCUCUCAGUUCUUAUACAAGGGAAUAGGCAGACAGUGAGACAUUGACUUUUUUUUAUUGAUUCCUGAGGACUAAUGGAUCUUACUUUGUUAUCAAGACAUCUAGACAGGCUGGUCUUCAUAUCAUCUCUCCCAAUUAGUGCUUUGAAUCAUGCAUUCUCCUCUCUCUUUCAUCUUGAACUCGAAAACUUUGAUCUGCAGUGUGGAGUUCGUUGCUAUAACUUCCAUGCUGGUUUGGGCUUUUGACUGUUGCUCCUUGUAUAACAACAAUGUCAGUGAAAGGAGGUUGCAUCCUUCAAUCCAUCCCUUCCAAAAUUUCUGAAUAGUGGCCUUCUCAAUGCUAGAUGGUUUUUAUGUGACUACUGUAAGAUUUCAUCUUUGGUGGUUGUCUUAGAAUCUUUGAAAUCUUCAACUUCAGUCCUAUACUCGAUGAGAAGGAGUGCAUAAACAGAAUCAUUUAAGAACUACAAGGGACAGAUGAAUCAUGAAAAAUGUUCCAUGCAGACAAGAUGUUAGGCUCAUUUAAAAAACCAUGCCAAAAAUUAAGGAAUUAUUUUGGUUUCACAAAUCCUGAAGUCCCCCCCUUUGAAUGAUUUUUUCUGGGAAGAGUUUCUGGGAAAGGUAGAACCAUCACAGAAAACACUGAUGUUUGUAUCACAAUAUCAACUAAGAAUUGUUCAGAGAAGAUUUAUUUUCUCUUGAGAUUAAUGGGACUCUUGCACCAGUUAUCAAUCACUUCCAAGUUCUGAUCAACCACCAGCCAUCAGGACUGAAAUCGUCCUUCAUUGCAUACUGCAGUUGGGUUUUCAUGUUCCUCUGAUCCACAUAUAUUGGGGUGUUGCAAAUUACUAACAGAAACAGUUCUGGCUUCCGUUCUGUUUACAUCAUGAUGAGCUUUCAUUCUCACCAGCUCAGUGUGAUGGUUUAAAGUUAUGUCUACUUAUGGUUUGCAUACAGGUCAUUAGCAGAGGCCCUUGUGUCUUUGAGCCUCUUGAGAUGGCUUUGCCUUCCCAUUUUUACAUCUGGUAAAUGGUGAGGAAUCCUGUGUGAUAUGUUGUUGCUUCUGUAAACUGUAUUAUUCUUUUGAACUGUGUUUUUUACAACAUCAAGAUAUGCAUUUUCAAGUAACAAUUUUCAGUUGAACUUGCCUGAAAAGCAAGCACACUCAAAGAAAUUCCUUUCAGAGUUUCGAGUAGUUUCUGGUUUACGGUGACUGGAUGCUGGAGAUGAAUGAACCAGCUCUCCUACCUGCUCACCGUCCAGAACCUUCUUGCCAUCAAAAACAAUGGUGACCUCACAAAAUUCAGGUGCAUUCUUCUGGAUGAACUCUCCCGUUCCCAGUUUUUUCCAGGAUCGCCUAAAAGGAAAAAAGAAUUAAACCCUUAGACGGCUAGUUCUACUGAUUCUGGAGGUAUGAUCCAAAAUGCAGUGAGAAAAGAGAGCUAUACUAGUUAAUUGUUCAAGCCCAGGGCUUAACACACCAAACCAAGAUCAAAUUUCAAACUCAGUAUUGGCCUUUUAUCUGCUUGCUCAGGUUAUAUACAUUUAUAACCUAUUGCUUGAUAAGCUUUUCUUGUGAUCAUUUGCGUUCAGUGACCAUGAUGUAUUUUUCCAGGAACUGACUCGGGAAGAAAACAGGAAAUCAUACCUUGGGCAAGGCGGCCUUUUGGUUC